rnacentral:rRNA from 1 species
AACGUAGGGGGCCAGCGUUGCUCGGAAUUACUGGGCGUAAAGGGUCCGUAGGCGGUGUGGCAAGUCGGAAGUGAAAUCUCUGGGCUUAACUCAGAGGCUGCUUCCGAAACUGCUGUGCUAGAGGAUGAGAGAGGCGAGUGGAAUUGCGGGUGUAGCGGUGAAAUGCGUAGAUAUCCGCAGGAACAUCCGAGGCGAAAGCGGCUCGCUGGAUCAUUUCUGACGCUGAGGGACGAAAGCUAGGGGAGCAAACAGG